AUCUUGACAAAAAUAGAAACAAAAAUCGAUUUUAAAGUUUAAUUAAUUGAACAGUACUCCUAGAACGUCGAAAGAGGAGGGGGAGCUAGGGGUGAAUAAGAAUGAUAAAAACGAAGGAAAGAAAAAUAUUGGAUUUCUACUGCUAUAUGUUUUCUUCAAUCCCAACUGCAACAGGAAGGAAUAUUUAGGAGUUGGGCAACAUUGAUCCCUGAAU